rnacentral:rRNA from 1 species
CAUGCAAGUCGAGCGGUAGCACAGAGAGCUUGCUCUCGGGUGACGAGCGGAGGACGGGUGAGUAAUGUCUGGGAAACUGCCUGAUGGAGGGGGAUAACUACUGGAAACGGUAGCUAAUACCGCAUAAUGUCGCAAGACCAAAGUGGGGGACCUUCGGGCCUCAUGCCAUCAGAUGUGCCCAGAUGGGAUUAGCUUGUAGGUGGGGUAACGGCUCACCUAGGCGACGAUCCCUAGCUGGUCUGAGAGGAUGACCAG